GGAACAAUUAGAAGAUCGAAAUCCAAACCUACUAAGGGAGCUUCAUCCUCCAAACCGUAUAGAUCUCAAUCAACUAAUGAAAACAGGUUGUACAGACAAAUCUUGGAUUGGAAACGCGCUGAUGCAAGAACGAUCUCAAGGAGAUCACAAGCAAUCAGCACAAAUCCAAACGACCUCAUCAAGCAAAUGCGAAGUCUCACUAUCAAGGCGUCUGAAUCUGCGAAAGACUGUAGGACUCAGGAGAGGGAAAAGACGCCGAAGAAAAGGACGCGUUUUGUUAUAACGGAUUUAAGCUCCAACAAUCUUGCGAGACAUGACGAAAAGUUUUUCCGACCGCUGACCGGGCGGGAGAAGCAGCGUCGGAUCUCCGUCUGGGUGCAGAACGUCGAGCACCAGCGGCUGGCGGCGCCCGACUCCACGGAGGCCGUCACGUGCGACACGCCGAGCACAGAGACCACCGGUCGGCUGUCUGCCUCGCUGGUCAGCCAGCACGGCUCCUCGGCGGCCACACCGACCCAGCACCACCAGCACCAGCACCAGCACCAGCGGACGGCGCCGGCCCACCGACACCAGCACCACCACGGCCCCGGUCCCGCCAAACGGCCUCAUGUUUGAACGGGCGGGGAGCGCACUGAACCUUCCCAUGGAGCCUGCCCCUGCCGGGGUUCUCUGAAUCAACGGCGAAAGGAUUGAACGCACAGUCAGCGACGAAUGACCGAACGACACGAUGGUGACAACGACAAUGGGGAGUAAUUGCUCAGAAGGCGGCACCACGCCGCAAACGAGAAGUGGUGCAGCGAACCUCUAAGAUGCGACUCGUAUGUGACCUAAACAUGAUCAAUAAACGAGAAGAUAUGAAACUUUA